rnacentral:rRNA from 1 species
UGGGGAAUUUUGGACAAUGGGCGAAAGCCUGAUCCAGCAAUGCCGCGUGCGAUGAAGCAGCUUCGGGUUGUAAAGCACUUUUGUCCGGAAAGAAAUCCUUGGCUCUAAUACAGUCGGGGGAUGACGGUACCGGAAGAAUAAGCACCGGCUAACUACGUGCCAGCAGCCGCGGUAAUACGUAGGGUGCAAGCGUUAAUCGGAAUUACUGGGCGUAAAGCGUGCGCAGGCGGUUUGCUAAGACCGAUGUGAAAUCCCCGGGCUCAACCUGGGAACUGCAUUGGUGACUGGCAGGCUAGAGUAUGGCAGAGGGGGGUAGAAUUCCACGUGUAGCAGUGAAAUGCGUAGAGAUGUGGAGGAAUACCGAUGGCGAAGGCAGCCCCCUGGGCCAAUACUGACGCUCAUGCACGAAAGCGUGGGGAGCAAACAGGAUUAGAUACCCUGGUAGUCCACGCCCUAAACGAUGUCAACUAGUUGUUGGGGAUUCAUUUCCUUAGUAACGUAGCUAACGCGUGAAGUUGACCGCCUGGGGAGUACGGUCGCAAGAUUAAAACUCAAAGGAAUUGACGGGGUCAUAGCUGUUUCCU